rnacentral:rRNA from 1 species
UACGUAGGGUGCGAGCGUUGUCCGGAAUUAUUGGGCGUAAAGGGCUCGUAGGCGGUUUGUCGCGUCGGGAGUGAAACCUUGGGCUUAACUCAGGGCUUGCUUUCGAUACGGGCAGACUAGAGGUAUGCAGGGGAGAACGGAAUUCCUGGUGUAGCGGUGAAAUGCGCAGAUAUCAGGAGGAACACCGGUGGCGAAGGCGGGUCUCUGGGCCGAUACUGACGCUGAGGAGCGAAAGCGUGGGGAGCGAACAGG